AAGGGUGGUCCCGUGGAGGACUCAAAUGUCCCAGCUGGAAUAGACACAGCAGAGCAGGUGAAACCAUCACACGGAUCUGCUUGUGUGGCUUGGAGCAUCCUGCGUCACGUGUCUAGGAGUGGGGACACCUGCCUGCAGAGAGAGGGACCGUUGUCUCGACAGGUGGUUGGGCUGAUACUUCACAGAGGAAAGAUGGAGGUGGCAGAAAAAGCAAGCAGGGCAUUGGUGUGGACUAACACAGGCCUGCAGGAUGCUCUCAUCUAAGCAAGUGGCCUGGGCGCUGAUGUGAGCCCGGAUGGUGAAUUGGUAUCCUCAUCUGACUGUGUCAGUGCCCCCCUGUGACCUUGCAUGGCCCCCUAAGGAGCUGGGAACACUGGGGAUGAGAACCCACCCAAAGAGGACGAAUCUGAGGGAGAGGAAGUGGGCUGAAGGCAACUUCUCUAAAAUAUUAAAAGCCUGUGGCCGCCAGAGGCCGGCGGCGAGGCCUGGGCUCCGGCAGCAGGUCCUGACCGUUGAGCCCCCGGCAUAGCCCUGUUGAGCAAUAGGGACCUGCCCUGGUGUUGUCCUCACUGCCUGGCCCACUCUUCUUGGCACAG
rnacentral:lncRNA from 1 species